rnacentral:rRNA from 1 species
AUACGUAGGGUGCAAGCGUUAAUCGGAAUUACUGGGCGUAAAGCGUGCGCAGGCGGUUUUGUAAGACAGAGGUGAAAUCCCCGGGCUCAACCUGGGGACUGCCUUUGUGACUGCAAGGCUAGAGUACGGCAGAGGGGGAUGGAAUUCCGCGUGUAGACGGGGAAUGCGUAGAUAUGCGGAGGAACACCGAUGGCGAAGGCAAUCCCCUGGGCCUGUACUGACGCUCAUGCUCGAAAGCGUGGGGAGCAAACAGGAUUAGAUACCCUGGUAGUCCACGCCCUAAACGAUGUCAACUGGUUGUUGGGUCUUCAUUGACUCAGUAACGAAGCUAACGCGUGAAGUUGACCGCCUGGGGAGUACGGCCGCAAGGUUGAAACUCAAAUGAAUUGACGGG